rnacentral:rRNA from 1 species
ACGCUGGCGGCGUGCCUAAUACAUGCAAGUAGAACGCUGAAGACUUUAGCUUGCUAGAGUUGGAAGAGUUGCGAACGGGUGAGUAACGCGUAGGUAACCUGCCUACUAGCGGGGGAUAACUAUUGGAAACGAUAGCUAAUACCGCAUAACAGUGUUUAACACAUGUUAGAUGCUUGAAAGAUGCAAUUGCAUCACUAGUAGAUGGACCUGCGUUGUAUUAGCUAGUUGGUGGGGUAACGGCCUACCGAGGCGACGAUACAUAGCCGACCUGAGAGGGUGAUCGGCCACACUGGGACUGAGACACGGCCCAGACUCCUACGGGAGGCAGCAGUAGGGAAUCUUCGGCAAUGGGGGCAACCCUGACCGAGCAACGCCGCGUGAGUGAAGAAGGUUUUCGGAUCGUAAAGCUCUGUUGUAAGAGAAGAACGUGUGUGAGAGUGGAAAGUUCACACAGUGACGGUAACUUACCAGAAAGGGACGGCUAACUACGUGCCAGCAGCCGCGGUAAUACGUAGGUCCCGAGCGUUGUCCGGAUUUAUUGGGCGUAGAGCGAGCGCAGGCGGUUUAAUAAGUCUGAAGUUAAAGGCAGUGGCUUAACCAUUGUUCGCUUUGGAAACUGUUAAACUUGAGUGCAGAAGGGGAGAGUGGAAUUCCAUGUGUAGCGGUGAAAUGCGUAGAUAUAUGGAGGAACACCGGUGGCGAAGGCGACUUUCUGGUCUGUAACUGACGCUGAUGUGCGAAAGC